GCGGAUGGCUGGGUGAUCGCGGGGCUUGUCGUAAUGGCGGUUCCGAGGAAAGUCCGGACUCCAUGAAACAAGGGUGCCGGAUAAUGCCCGGCGGGGGCAACCCCAGGGAAAGCGCCACAGAGAAAAGACUGCCAUGGUGCCGGUUUACCGGGAAAGCCAUGGUGAUGGUGAAACGGUGGGGUAAGAGCCCACCACGGACCGGGCAACCGGGACGGUAUGGCAAGCCCCACCCGGAGCAAUGCCGAAUAGGGGCCCCGCGUGGGAUUGGUCCGUUGAUCGCAAGGUCGAUGGAUACCGCCACAGGGACGCUUCAGCCCAGAGGCCCGGGUUGGCAGCUUGACCGCCCUGGCAACAGGUGCGGCAGAGGAAUGAUCAUCCAUGGGCGAAAGCCCGGGACAGAAUCCGGCUUACAGGCCAUCCGCGCAA
rnacentral:RNase_P_RNA from 1 species